rnacentral:rRNA from 1 species
GACGGGGGGGGCAAGUGUUCUUCGGAUUCACUGGGCGUAAAGGGUGCGUAGGCGGUCGGGUAAGUCUGAUGUGAAAUCUCACAGCUUAACUGUGAAACUGCAUUGGAUACUAUCCGGCUCGAGGAAUGGAGGGGAGACUGGAAUACUUGGUGUAGCAGUGAAAUGCGUAGAUAUCAAGUGGAACACCAGUGGCGAAGGCGAGUCUCUGGACAUUUCCUGACGCUGAGGCACGAAAGCCAGGGGAGCAAACGGG